AAGUACAGUGAGUUGCUUGCAAGUCACCGUGACAGUCUCAGGUCUAAGGGGUACUUAUGCCCAUACGUUUUACGAGCUAACUCCCGACAGUGGAGUGCUACGCAGGUGAGUCACUAUUCAGUGACGAUGUACUCCUACAUCUCACCUGUAUGCCAUACAGUGUCUCCACACUCCUUGGUUUAAGAGGACAACCAACUAAAUGGCACACAAUGACCUAUACUUGACAUAGCUAUCGUCCAAUUGACAGCUUGUCAUUUGGUCGCGAACUGGUUUAAGGACUAAAUGAUAAAAUCUCUUUUAUCCACUAAAUUAGUCCUAAGGACUUCAUCACAAUACACAGGAGUUCAAUUUGAAGAUGCAACACUUGUGAUGAAUAGAAAAUUACCAGAAUAAAUUUUUAUUCAUUUUAAUAAAAUAUAUAUACAUAAUCCAAUUUCUUACAAUUAAAAAUUGGCUUUGGGACACAAUUCCCAACACAUCCCACAUGAGCUUGACUCGACCUGCAUAUAUUAGACUCGACCUGCAUAAAUUUGACUCGACCAAUAAAAUCAAUCAAACUUGAAUUACUUCUAGUAAUUUAUUAAAAUGCAAUGAUGAAGGGAAACACAUUUUCUUUUGUUUAAAUUUAAAAUAUGUACAUAAAAAUAAUAAUAAGUGCUAUGUGAAAUAUAUAAAUUUAUUCAUUAUUUAGCACUUAUCAGAGGGUACUGAUUGUGGUGUGAUAGAGGGAAGAAGAGGUUGGAUCGUGGCUUUGGCAACAAGGGCAAAGCCGAGCUGCUCUGAUACCAAGUUGAUGACGGAUACUGCAGGUGAAGAGGAGAAUGAGGAAGAAUAAGGGAGGGAGAAGGAAGAAGAGGUUAUAGAGACGUGGGAAGAAGAAGAGAAAAGAAGAAGAAAGAAAAAGAACAAGAGGGUGGGUAGGGUUUUUUUUUCAAUCAUCCAUUGCCUCAUACAUGAGAGGGGUGGUCUUUAUAUAGACCUUACAUCUUAACCAAAUCAAGUAAUCAAUUGACCAAAUCAAUCAAUUGACACUGAUUAAACUUGGGCCCUUACAUCAAUUAAUCCCUUACCAAAAUUGGUCCUCUAAAUUAACCCAAUUAUAUAAACCUGAUUGACUAGUCUAAUAACAAAACAACUGACCAAAUUGACUUGACUAAGACAAAAGCAAAUAAUGCAAUAAAAUAAAAGUGACUCGGACUCUAAUGGACCCAAUCCGGGGGCUCAGGAUCAUCUGAAUGAAGGGCUCUGAUGUCCCCUUCACUAGGUUAGCCGAAAAAUGGUUAUUGAUUCAAGGAUGCAAGGUGACCCUACUUUUUUAGGGUAAGAAGGUGUAGAGGAAAUGGCUUGAGCUAAUGUCCGAGUACCAGGCG
rnacentral:lncRNA from 1 species